CCCAGCACCAGAGACUGUGCGUUAACUCCGCGGACUACGCAGGCAGAAGCGAAGGAGGUGGCGGCAGACCAAGAGGAAGCCACGCAGAGCCCCGCAUCCUGGGAGCCAUGAGCGGGCGCAGGUGUCCCGUGGGGCUGACAUCCUCAGUGGUGGCCCCGGCCAAGGAGCCCAACGCCAUGGGGCCUCGGGAGGUGGAGCUUGUCCUGGUCAAAGAGCAGAAUGGGGUGCAGCUCACUAACUCCACCCUCAUCAGUGCGCCCCACAGCCCCACGGGGGCCCAGGAACGUGAGACCUGGGGCAAGAAGAUCGACUUCCUGCUGUCCGUCAUCGGCUUUGCCGUGGACCUGGCCAACGUCUGGCGGUUUCCCUACCUGUGCUACAAAAAUGGCGGGGGAGCCUUCCUGGUACCCUACCUGCUCUUCAUGGUGAUCGCCGGGAUGCCCCUGUUCUACAUGGAGCUGGCCCUUGGGCAGUUCAACAGGGAGGGGGCCGCCGGCGUCUGGAAGAUCUGCCCCAUCCUGAAGGGGGUGGGCUUCACAGUCAUCCUCAUCUCGCUCUACGUGGGCUUCUUCUACAACGUCAUCAUCGCCUGGGCACUGCACUACUUCUUCUCCUCCUUCUCCGUGGAGCUGCCCUGGACCCACUGCAACAACACCUGGAACAGCCCCAACUGCUCCGACGCCCCCUCGGGCAACGCCAGCACUGGCCCCGGCCUCAACAGCACCUUCGGGACCACGCCUGCAGCCGAGUACUUUGAACGCGGCGUGCUGCACCUGCACCUGAGCCACGGCAUUGACGACUUGGGCCCGCCGCGCUGGCAGCUCACGGCCUGCCUAGUGCUGGUCAUCGUGCUGCUCUACUUCAGCUUGUGGAAGGGUGUGAAGACCUCAGGCAAGGUGGUGUGGAUCACGGCCACCAUGCCCUACGUGGUCCUCACCGCCCUGCUCCUGCGUGGUCUCACCCUCCCGGGAGCCAUCGACGGCAUCCGGGCCUACCUGAGUGUGGACUUCUACCGGCUCUGCGAGGCGUCGGUGUGGAUUGAUGCUGCCACCCAGGUGUGCUUCUCUCUGGGUGUUGGGUUUGGGGUGCUGAUUGCUUUCUCCAGCUACAACCAGUUCACCAACAACUGCUAUCGGGAUGCAAUCCUCACCACCUCCAUCAACUCCCUGACCAGCUUCUCCUCGGGCUUUGUGGUCUUCUCCUUCCUGGGGUACAUGGCCCAGAAACACAGCGUGCCCAUCGGGGACGUGGCCAAGGACGGCCCUGGGCUGAUCUUCAUCAUCUACCCGGAGGCAAUCGCCACACUCCCGCUGUCGUCGGCCUGGGCGGUGGUGUUCUUCAUCAUGCUGCUCACCCUGGGGCUCGACAGUGCUAUGGGCGGCAUGGAGUCGGUGAUCACGGGGCUCAUCGAUGAGUUCCAGCUGCUGCACCGGCACCGGGAGCUCUUCACACUGUGCAUCGUGCUGGGCACCUUCCUGCUGUCACUCUUCUGCGUCACCAACGGGGGCAUCUACGUCUUCACGCUGCUGGACCACUUUGCAGCUGGCACGUCCAUCCUCUUUGGGGUGCUCAUUGAGGCCAUUGGGGUGGCCUGGUUCUAUGGUGUCCGGCAGUUCAGCGAGGACAUCAAACAAAUGACGGGCCGGCGGCCCAGCCUCUACUGGCGGCUGUGCUGGAAGCUGGUCAGCCCCUGCUUCCUUCUGUUUGUGGUUGUGGUCAGCGUUGUGACCUUCAGACCCCCCCACUACGGCUCCUACGUCUUCCCCGCCUGGGCCAACGCACUGGGCUGGGCAGUUGCCGCCUCCUCCAUGGCCAUGGUGCCCAUCUAUGCGGCCUACAAGUUCUGCAGCCUCCCAGGCUCUUUCCGAGAGAAACUGGCCCAGGCCAUCACACCCGAGAAGGACCGCGAGCUUGUGAACCGAGGAGAGGUGCGCCAGUUCACGACACAGCUGUGCACUGAGUGUUACUGAUGCUCAGAAACAGGCUGAACAAGCAAGGUCUGCACCCCAGCAGUGACACUUGCUGGGGCCGUGAGGCUCCUCCUGCCCCAGGUGGUGCACAGGGGCAGAUGCCAGCUGCGCCACUGGCUCCUGGUGUAGCAAGCAGUGACCUGGCCAGCUGGGCAGGUCCUCACCAGGGAGAGGAGACAGAGGGCUGCGUCCACCCUGGGACCUCGCCUUCACGGACAAACAGCCUGGGCAGACUCGCUGUAAGAACCGCACCCAUCCGUGCAGUGAGGCCAACCAGUUGCCGCCCUAUGUGGAUGCCCAUGCCCCACAGGAGGAUGCAGCAACUGUACCUACACUGUCCCUGUACCCUCAGGGGCUGCCUGGGCCACUCGUGCUGCUCAGAUUUAAAAGCUAGGUCCCCUGCUGAGUCUGAGCAGCACAUAGAGGGGAAGAGGCUGAGUUGACACAGUCCUUUCCUGGCACCAGGCUGUGAGUGGACAGUGAUCCAAGGGUACCACUCACCUGUCACACACGUGAGUUCCAUCCAGGGGCAUGGAGGACCAGGCUGGUUCAUGUGGUGGGAUGCUGCUUCCUUGCCACUGAGAGAAGUGAUUUUCUGUGGACCCAGCUCAGGCCACAGCCACUCUUGCCCACUGCACUCUGGACCUGGCCUGAGUACGUCCCCAACUGUGGCCACCUGCGUGCCUGGAGCCCACAUCCUCCAGCCUGAGUGGUCUCCAGCACACAUGACAUCUUGGGACAUAUCCUUUGCUAGGAACUGGCAUUUUAAAUCCUAUUUAUCUGUGUCAAAACAAAUUCUCAAAGUGCACGGUUUAUUUCUGCAUAUCUGUUUACAGAUGUUCUGGGUUUUGUUUACAAGAAUAAUUAGCAAUACCAGUGAAGACUGAGCCCCGCCUGCCUCUGCCGCCCUCCCACAGCACACUGGCCACCCCAGGGCAUGGCAGGACCUGCUCACCCGUUCUUGCCAUGAGGCUGAGCAAGCUCCUGGCCACAUGGGCAUCGCAGAGUGGUGCGGCAGUCAUGCUGUGCAGAGAGGCGGGCUGCAGCCAGGAAGUACACCUCCACCCCAGGGGCAGGGGAACGUGGACUGUAGGAAGUUGGUUGUAGUCGCCUGCCCGUGGGGAGCACCUGUGGUCCUGGCUGGGAGGACCCUGCCUGAGAGGCUCCAUGUAGAAAGCAGUGUAAUCAGCCUCUGUCCCUGUCCUGCUGUCAGUGUUGUGUGUGGGUCCUGUGCACAAUAAACGAAGUCCAUGUUGGAAGUGA